rnacentral:rRNA from 1 species
UACGGAGGGGGCUAGCGUUGUUCGGAAUUACUGGGCGUAAAGCGCGCGUAGGCGGCUUUGUAAGUUAGAGGUGAAAGCCCGGAGCUCAACUCCAGAACUGCCUUUGAUACUGAGGAUCUUGAGUUCGGGAGAGGUGAGUGGAACUGCGAGUGUAGAGGUGAAAUUCGUAGAUAUUCGCAAGAACACCAGUGGCGAAGGCGGCUCACUGGCCCGAUACUGACGCUGAGGCACGAAAGCGUGGGGAGCAAACAGG